AAUUCCUUAAGUUUCAAUCUGCGAUCGUACUCCCCAGGCGGCAGACUUAACAGCUUCCUGCGGCACUAGAACGGCACGUGGCCGUCCAAACACCUAGUCUGCAUCGUUUACAGCUGGGACUACCCGGGUAUCUAAUCCGGUUCGCUCCCCCAGCUUUCAUCCCUCACCGUCGGGCGCGUUCUAGCAGACAGCCUUCGCCACUGGUGGUCUUCUCGGGAUUAUAGGAUUUCACCCCUACCCCGGGAAUACCGUCUGCCUCUCUCGUCCCCUAGCCGAGCAGUAUCCCCCGCACACCAACGAUUAAAUCGGUGGGUUUAACAGGGGACUUGUUCAGCCAGCUACGGAUGCUUUAGGCCCAAUAAACGUCCACACCACUCGGAGAGCUGGUAUUACCGCGGCGGCUGACACCAGACUUGCCCUCUCCUUAUUCCCCCAGCUUUCUAGACUGGGUAAAAGCCAACCUCAGCGGUCGGCACUCGGGAUGACCCUGUCACACUUUCGUGUAUUGCAAAGUUUUCGCGACUGCUGCGCCCCGUAGGACCUGGGCCCUUGUCUCAGUGCCCAUCUCCGGGCUCCCGCUCUCACGGCCCGCACCGGUUAUAGGCUUGGUGGGCCAUUACCUCACCAACAACCUGAUCGGUCGCGGCCCCAUCCUUAGGCGACGCUGAAAGCAUGAUCCAACGCCUUUUAGGCAAAGACUCAUUCCAGAGUUCUUCACCUAUCGAGGAUUAUCCCCAGUUUCCCGGGGUUGGUCUCGUCCUAAGGGCAGGUUAGCCACGUGUUACUGAGCUGUACGCUGCGCCUCCCCACAUGGCUGGAAAGCGCUCAACUAGCAUGUCUUAGUCCCAUCCCGAUAGCAA
rnacentral:rRNA from 1 species